UACAGAGGGUGCGAGCGUUAAUCGGAAUUACUGGGCGUAAAGGGCGCGUAGGUGGUUUGUUAAGAUUGUUGUGAAAUCCCUGGGCUUAACCUAGGAACUGCAACGAUGACUGACAAGCUUGAGUAUUGUAGAGGGUAGUGGAAUUUCCGGUGUAGCGGUGAAAUGCGUAGAGAUCGGAAGGAACACCAGUGGCGAAGGCGGCUACCUGGACAAAUACUGACACUGAGGCGCGAGAGCGUGGGGAGCAAACAGG
rnacentral:rRNA from 1 species